UGGAGAUUGACUCGACAGAUUUGACUUAAAUGUAAGGUUGACUCUUGAAAUCUUUGGAAUUGGCUCCAGCUGAAGAAUUUGAAUUUUGUUGCUUAUUAUCUUUCUACUCUGAGAUAUUAGUAUGGUCGACUCUUGGAUAUUUGAGGUUAACUCAUGUUUGGGGUCGACUCGUGAAACUUCUAGAAUCGACUCGAGAUGUAAUGGGACUG
rnacentral:lncRNA from 1 species